GAGCUUGCUCCCUGAUGUUAGCGGCGGACGGGUGAGUAACACGUGGGUAACCUGCCUGUAAGACUGGGAUAACUCCGGGAAACCGGGGCUAAUACCGGAUGGUUGUUUGAACCGCAUGGUUCAGACAUAAAAGGUGGCUUCGGCUACCACUUACAGAUGGACCCGCGGCGCAUUAGCUAGUUGGUGAGGUAACGGCUCACCAAGGCGACGAUGCGUAGCCGACCUGAGAGGGUGAUCGGCCACACUGGGACUGAGACACGGCCCAGACUCCUACGGGAGGCAGCAGUAGGGAAUCUUCCGCAAUGGACGAAAGUCUGACGGAGCAACGCCGCGUGAGUGAUGAAGGUUUUCGGAUCGUAAAGCUCUGUUGUUAGGGAAGAACAAGUGCCGUUCAAAUAGGGCGGCACCUUGACGGUACCUAACCAGAAAGCCACGGCUAACUACGUGCCAGCAGCCGCGGUAAUACGUAGGUGGCAAGCGUUGUCCGGAAUUAUUGGGCGUAAAGGGCUCGCAGGCGGUUUCUUAAGUCUGAUGUGAAAGCCCCCGGCUCAACCGGGGAGGGUCAUUGGAAACUGGGGAACUUGAGUGCAGAAGAGGAGAGUGGAAUUCCACGUGUAGCGGUGAAAUGCGUAGAGAUGUGGAGGAACACCAGUGGCGAAGGCGACUCUCUGGUCUGUAACUGACGCUGAGGAGCGAAAGC
rnacentral:rRNA from 1 species